AAGUUGGCGUUGGUACAGAUGGUGUGUGUCUGUGUGUAUAUACAGCAGGUACUUGAAGUUGGUACAGAUGAUGUGUGUCUGUGUGUGUAUACAGCAGGUACUUGAAGUUGGUACAGAUGGUGUGUGUCUGUGUGUGUAUACAGCAGGUACUUGAAGUUGGUACAGAU